rnacentral:rRNA from 1 species
UCAUUGCUGGAACAAACGUCCUCACGGGCGCUACCCAGAAACCCUUUGUGAACAUUCCUACUUUGUUGCCUCGGCAUGGUUGGCUUCGAAUGAAGUCCCGCGUCAGCGGAGCAAACCGGCCGGUGGCCCCUUACAAACUCUUGUUUUUGUAGUAUCUUCUGAGGAAAGAAAAAUAAAUGAAUCAAAACUUUCAACAACGGAUCUCUUGGUUCUGGCAUCGAUGAAGAACGCAGCGAAAUGCGAUAAGUAAUGUGAAUUGCAGAAUUCAGUGAAUCAUCGAAUCUUUGAACGCACAUUGCGCCCGGUGGUAUUCCACCGGGCAUGCCUGUUCGAGCGUCAUUUCACCCCUCAAAACUUUUGGUUUUGGUGUUGGAGGAAUACUUUUCACCCGAGUACCCUCUGAAAUGUAGUGGCGGGCUCGCUAGAAAUUUGAGCGUAGUACCUUUUUACCUCGUUUGUAAGAUCUAGUGGGACUUCUUGCCAUAAAACCCCCCCAACUCUCUGA